UACUCAUUGCGAAACUGCGAAUGGCUCAUUAAAACAGUUAUAGUUUAUUUGAUGAAUUCUUACAUGGAUAACCAUGGGAAACUGCGGCUAAUACAUGCAUAAAGCUGGACCACGUUCAGUCGUAUUUAUUAGUUUCUAACUAAUAGCCUUGCGCUAGUUUGAGGAAUUAUAAUAACUUAACAGAGCACAACUGUGCCGCAUCAUUCAAGUUUCUGCCCUAUCAGCUUACGAUGGUAGUGUAUUGGACUACCAUGGCAGUCACGGGUAACGGAGAAUUGGGGUUCGAUUCCGGAGAGGGAGCCUGAGAAACGGCUACCAUUUCUAAGGAAGGCAGCAGGCGCGUAAAUUACCCAAUCCUAAUUCAGGGAGGUAGUUAAUAGAAAUAACACACUCGGACUUAUGUCUUGAGAAUGUAAUGAACAUAAUCUAAAAAAUUUAGUGAAACCUAUUGGAGGGCAAGUCUGGUGCCAGCAGCCGCGGUAAUUCCAGCUCCAAUAGCGUAUUUUAAUGGUUGUUGCAGUUAAAAAGCUCGUAGUUGAAUUUAGGAAGGGUAUCCUUCCUGGUUGUAAUCACCCCUGCAUCCGAUUGUUGCUUGGGUAUCAAACUUUUACUGUGAGAAAACUAAAGUGCUCAAAGCAGGCUAACGCUUGAAUAUUAAAGCAUGGAAUAAUGAAAUAGGGCUUUAUUCUAUUAUUGGUUAUUGGAUAAAGUAAUGAUUAACAGAAACAGUUGGGGGCAUUCGUAUUUAAUUGUCAGAGGUGAAAUUCUUGGAUUUAUUAAAGACGAACCAAUGCGAAAGCAUUUGCCAAGGAUGUUUUCAUUAUAUCAAGAACGAAAGUUAGGGGAUCAAAGACGAUUAGAUACCACGUAGUCCUAACUAUAAACUAUACUAACUAGGGAUUGGCGAGGUUAACCCUCAUCAGCACCUAAUGAGAAAUCAAAGUCUUUGGGUUCUGGGGGGAGUAUGGUCGCAAGGCUGAAACUUAAAGGAAUUGACGGAAGGACACCACCAGGAGUGGAGCCUGCGGCUUAAUUUGAUUCAACACGGGAAAACUUACCAGGGUAAAACACAGAUAUGAUUGACAGCUUGAUAGCGCUUUCUUGAUCCGGUAGCAAGUGGUGCAUGGCCGUUCUUAGUUGGUGGAGUCGAUUUGUCAGGUUUAAUUCCCUAAACGAACGAGACCUUAACCUGCUAAAUAGAAGCGUUUACUUUCUAGACGUAUUCUUCUUAGAGGGACUAUACGCACUAGUCUAUGGAAGUUUGAGGCAAUAACAGGUCCGUGAUGCCCUUAGAUAUUCUGGCCGCACGCGUGCUACACUGAUGCAUGCAACAAGUCACCUAACCCGAAGG
rnacentral:rRNA from 1 species